rnacentral:tRNA from 1 species
GGUGCCUUAGCUCAGCUGGUAGAGCAACGGAUUGAAAAUCCGUGUGUCCCCAGUUCGAUUCUGGGAGGCACCACCA